GCUCUUAGGCAGCACAUAUACUAAAAAAUCGGAACGAUACAGAGAAGAUUAGUAUGACCCUGGGCAAGGAUGGCAUGCAAAUUCAUGAAGCCUUCCACAUAGAG